GACGCACGCUGGCGGCGUGCCUAAUACAUGCAAGUCGAACGCAGUGGGGACGGGUGCGUAACACGUGGGUAACCUCCCCAUCAGAGGGGAUAACACUUUGAAACAGGUGCUAAACCGAUACUGAUGGAUGGACCCGCGGUGCAUGAGCUAGUGGGUGAGGUAACGGCUCACCAAGGCCACGAUGCAUAGCCGACUUGAGAGGGUGAUCGGCCACAUGUGGCCUGAGACACGGCCCAGAAUCCUACGGGAGGCAGCAGGAGGGAAUCGUCGGCAAUGGACGAAAGUCUGACCGAGCAACGCCGCGUGAGUGAAGAAGGUUUUCGGAUCGUAAAACUCUGUUGUUAGAGAAGCGGUAUCUAACCAGAAAGCCACGGCUAACUACGUGCCAGCAGCCGCGGUAAUUC
rnacentral:rRNA from 1 species